rnacentral:lncRNA from 1 species
UGGUCCUGUCUGGUGUGAACCGUCAGCACAGAUGGCCUCCUGGAGCUUCCCCGAGUCGUUCGCUGGGGGAAGCGGGCGGUGAGCGGCCAGCCCGGGCGCUCCGCAGGCCGCGAGCUCCCGGCAGGGCUGGUGGCGGGGGUCCGCCUGGGGGAGGAAUCCCCGCCUGCUCCAUCGGACCCGGCCUGGCGCGGCUCGCGGCGCUCGGCGGGCUCCCUUCCAUUCUAGAAUCUUCCCGCUUGCUUCCCAGCCCGCGUUCUUCCGCCUGCCUUUAAUUGUGAUUAAGGAGUUUGGGGAAGUCGCAGAGCUGCAGCGGAAAGGCAGGGGUCUGAGACUACUUUUGAGAAGAGAAACAACGCAAAACGAUCGCUGGAGGGCCAGAGCCCUGGUCGAAGAAGCAGACACAGGUUCCCACGGCGUCUGACGCCUGCGGAGCAAGUCCAGAGCCAGCUGGACUCGCAGCCUCUGGCCCGGCGGCACCAACUCCUCACUGGGUCAUUUUGAGCGCGCUGUGCCCACCUUUUCUGUUGCGUGUGGACGUGGGGAGGAUCUUCUAAGUCCCUCCAACGAAGGCAAGUGUGAGACUCUGGCCCUUUAUUUGUAAGAAGCAAGCCUUCAGAUUGCAGAAGUGUCGCGCGGGUCGCCGUGCGUUGCGCGAGUGGGAAGAUGGAGGAGGCCGGCACGCUGCUUUCGUGGACGCAAGUGAACCGGGCGUGAAGGCAGGGUGCGAGCUCUGCCCUUGGCCCAGCCCUGCGUGGGCGCCGUCCCAGAUUCCGGGCGGUGCGGGGUGCAGAGAUCUGGAGAGACUUGCGGGCUCCCCAGCGCAGGCUGCUCUGGGAUUUCGUUGGAAGAUCCGGCAGAGCCUUGGAGGAGAGGGCCCGGGAGGCUGUGUGUGCAGCGGAAACUUGUACGAAUGCCCCCACAGCGGAAAUGGUGCGCACGAGUAAUUUCUGCGGUGCACCCUUUUAAAAAUUGACAAGUGAACAAGAUCAAUUUUUUAAGAAAGCAAAGGUAGAAAACAAAAGGCGUGCGACUUCUUGACUGGCUUGUUCCCGCCUUUCUUCCUUCUCUAUACUCAGAUCAGAAACUUUUCUUUAAUUGCUCUUAUUCAGUGCGACAACUUUUAAUAAAAGCAUUUGCAUUUUAAGCCUGAGUUGCAACCAUAGAUUUAUUGCGAAGUGACAACGUGUCUAUGGAAUAUUUUCGCAGAUGAGACAGGACAUGCGCUCUAGUCGUGCCCAGAUUAAAGCGACGCUGGGCCAUGUGCCUGUGUAGUGCAGACUCGGAGGGGCACACACAUACUCGUCACCACAUGACCACUGUCUAUUAAUAUUGUCAUACCUAAACACUCGCAAAAACAAAAGUUGCUUUUCUUCCCUGUAAUUAAAUCUAAUUUG